AACGAACGCUGGCGGCAUGCCAAACACAUGCAAGUCGAACGAAGCCUUCGGGCUUAGUGGCGCACGGGUGCGUAACGCGUGGGAAUCUGCCCUUGGGUUCGGAAUAACAGUUAGAAAUGACUGCUAAUACCGAAUGAUGUCUUCGGACCAAAGAUUUAUCGCCCAAGGAUGAGCCCGCGUCGGAUUAGCUAGUUGGUGAGGUAAAGGCUCACCAAGGCGACGAUCCGUAGCUGGUCUGAGAGGAUGAUCAGCCACACUGGGACUGAGACACGGCCCAGACUCCUACGGGAGGCAGCAGUGGGGAAUAUUGGACAAUGGGCGAAAGCCUGAUCCAGCAAUGCCGCGUGAGUGAUGAAGGCUUAGGGUUGUAAAGCUCUUUACCCGGGAUGAUAAUGACAGUACCGGGAGAAUAAGCCCCGGCUAACUCCGUGGCCAGCAGCCGCGGUAAU
rnacentral:rRNA from 1 species